GGGGGAAAAAUUAAUAAGAUUAUAAUUAAUAAAAUAAUUUUUAAAGAAAAAAUAUUUAAUGGGGGUUAAAGUAUUUUUUUUAGAAAAAAUUAUAAAAUUUAUAAUUAAUUAGUAUUGUAAAAGAAAUUUGAAAAAUAUUUGAAAAUAAAUUUAUGAAAAAGUAAAUUUUAUUUAUUGUAUCUUGUGUAUCAGAGUUUAUUAAUAAAUAUUUUUAAAGAGAAAUUUCUCGAAUUUAAAAGAGUUAAUUAAUUAUAAAAGUUAAUAUUGCAUAAUUAUUUUAAAUAAUUAAUUAGAAAUGAAAUGUUAUUCGUUUUUAAAUAUAUCUAGUUUUUUUAGAAAAAAAUUUAAUUUUAGAUAUUAAAUUGAAAAAUAUUAUUUUAUUUAAUAUUUUUUUUUUAAUAUAAAAUAUUUUAAGGGAUAAGCUUUAAAAUAAAUUUUUAUAAUAUUUUUAUUUAAAUAAAAUUUUUAAAAUUUAUAUUGUUUAAAAAUUAUAAUUUUUUGUAAAUAAUUUUAUUUAAAUUUAAAAUUUAAUAUAAAUAUUUAAUUUUUUAUAAAAAAAAUAAUUUAUAAUAAUUAAAAAUUAGUUAUAAUGAUAAAAUUAGUAUAUAAAUAAAUUUUAUAAUAAUAAUAAUAAUUUAUUUAAAUUUAAUAAAAGGAAUUCGGCAAAUUUAUAUAUUCACUUGUUUAUCAAAAACAUGUCUUUUUGUUAAUAAUUUAAAGUCUAAUCUGCCCACUGAUAAAUUAUUAAAGGGCUGCAGUAUUUUGACUGUACAAAGGUAGCAUAAUCAUUAGUCUCUUAAUUGGUGACUUGUAUGAAGGAUUUCAUGAAAUAUUAACUGUCUCUUAUUAAUUUAUAAAAUUUAAUUUUUUAGUAAAAAAGCUAAAAUAAAUUUAAAAGACGAGAAGACCCUAUAGAGUUUAAUUAUUAAAAUAAUUUUUAUUUUUUAUAAAUUUUUUAAUUAAAAUUAUAUUAAUUAUUUUAUUGGGGUGAUAGAAAAAUUAAAAUAACUUUUUUUAAAAUUUAAACAUUAAUAAAUGAAUAUAUGAUCCGAUUUUAUCGAUUAAAAGAUUAAAUUACCUUAGGGAUAACAGCGUAAUUUUUUUUUUUAGUUCAAAUAAAAAAAAAAGUUUGCGACCUCGAUGUUGGAUUAAGAUAAAAUUUAAAUGCAAAAGUUUAAAAUUUUGAUCUGUUCGAUCAUUAAAAUCUUACAUGAUCUGAGUUCAAACCGGUGUAAGCCAGGUUGGUUUCUAUCUUUAAGAAAAAUUAAUAUUUUAGUACGAAAGGAUCAAAUAUUAAAAAUAAUUUUAAUAUAAGAAUUUUAAUAAUUAUAAUAUAAAAAUUAA
rnacentral:rRNA from 1 species